rnacentral:lncRNA from 1 species
AAAUUACAGUAUUCACAAAAUUAGUAUUCAGUUUGCAGAAUCUCUCUUUCCAAAGCCUUCAGGCAUACUUUAUGCAUGCACAAUUACAGAAGCACUUAACAGGAUUGUUAAGCAAAUGAUUAGACUUUGCUUUACUGUGAAAGAAUUUUGGUUUAUAAAGAGUUGAAGCUUCUCACAAACACUGGGUAUGUACUUCCACAAGCUUUUCACAGGAUUAAAAAGACAGUAUCA